GGCAAGCCCCGGUGCAUGCAACCCCUUUCCUUGUGUUUUUAAAUACUUUUCGCACACUUAAGUCUAGUGAAAUGUGCAUUAGGUUCAUAGGAGUUACUUGAAACCCUUUGAUGCAUUGCUUUCCUUGAUAUCCAUACCUUUAUAGAUACUUCUGUGAAGUAUCAAAAUAUGAUUUACAAAAAUGCUUAGCCUUGCUUAGAUCUUGUGGAUAGAGGUUGUCCUUAAUUUAACUCGAGAAAGGAUGGCUUCUACCUGCAAGAAUAUUUUCAUUUGGAGCAAUGGUGGGAUCUUACUGCAAAGUUCCCUGUGAUGCUCUUUCAUCCUAAGGAACAGACACAUUCCUAAGGAUGGAAAUACUUAAAUUGAAACUUGGGGUAGGAACAGGUGAUGUUCUACCCAGGUUGGUUAAGGAUUAACGCGUAUGUAGGCGUGCUGACCGAGGACCCUUUAACUGGUCACAUGCCUCGUCAUGGGUAAGCCUUGCCUCGGGCAGACUAAGGCCGGAAUAAGAUAACACGAAAUGGGCGUGGAGCGGUGGCGAGAGUAGCGUGUACCCUCCGUGGCAAGAGGCUGGACGGUGGUGUAGCUGUGCUCUCGGUUUGCGUGAACCUGAUCCGGUCUUAAGAACCCCGGUGGCGGGUUGACAUAUGCAAGGGUUAAGUGCUACAUAUGUCGUGUGAUUGGAGAUCCUCAGCUGAGUAUAAUCGAUUCGGAUCGCCGUACCUUCGCGGUUAUGAAGACUUGGUCACUUCCCUGCAACCUAAAGUCAGGAUGUGAACACUAUGGAUAAAAAUGAUGUUGUCUUGAUGUGAUGUGAAAUUAGACUAGAUGCAAAUAGAGUCUAGUAAUACUUAAUAUGGAGUUUAAAGAUUGAAAGUAAGGACUCACUUUAGUAAGCUACUUCUGCAAAAGUAUAAGUUGAUUUUUGCUAAAGCCUCUCCUUGACUCCUAUUUAUCCAGCAUACCCUUGAGAGUCUUUUCCUUAGUCGGGUAAGACUUGCUGAGUAUUCCAUACUCAGGGUUUAUCCCUUUGUUGUUUUUAGGUGAGGAAGCGACAAACUUUUGUUGCUUUUGCUCCAAGGUGGUACCAAACGAGGAAAAACAAGACUGAAGUGCGGGAGGACUCGGUCCUCCACUUAGGAUCUUUUACUUAUGACUUAUCAGGAGGAGUUUGUGCCUCCCUUGGUUUGUAUAAUGUUAUUACUCUGCACUCACGUUUAGUCUGGUCUGUAAUAAAAUAACUCAAGCUUGUUUUUGAAAUAAAUGUAAGUUUAUGUAAUUGCUUCCGCAUGUCUUUAUCUCCGAUGUUCUGUAAUGUCUGCAAGACGGGUGAGACGUUCCUGGUAAAGUAAGGAAAGAUACCGAGCUUGUCAAGUAACUUAGGAACAUCUACAGGGUGUCUGAUGUCCGUUGGACAAGGACAACUGUAGGUGGGCCUAAUUACUUGGGAGGUUCCGUCACAGCUGGUAUCGGAGCGUAGCCCUUCUUUGCAGAUAUUAUGAGGCAUCUUCAAAAGAAUUUUCAAAAGUCUUACCUAAGAACUCUUUUCUCUUCUUACCUAAGUAUUCUGAAGAGUCUAUUUUAAAGACCAGAUAGGAAGAGUGCAACGUAUAGAAGGUUGAAUCGACUAAGGUUGAUUCUGUAAUUACACAUGCAUCAUGCUAAGCACUAUACUAAUAACGUUUUCCCCCUUAGAAAAGAUGCCGCCACGUACCAGGCUAACGGCACGCAAGUCUACAGGACCAAUUGGGGUGCCUCGGCAUCAAUUGGCUCCCCGACAUGAAAGCAGCAGUAGUGGAAGUAAUGACCCCAUCGGAGAUCUUAAAGCUCGUGUGAGUCGACUUCAAGCAGCGCUGCAACAUAGGACUGAUGCUUGGGUCGCUGACGGAGAUAGAAUCAAUGAACUGAGAAGGGACAUCCGACACUUGCAGGAUCAGCUCGCUGAUCGAGACUUAGCACUUGACUGGGUCGUACAGUCUCGUUUGCUAAUGUGUGCUAAGGAAGCAAGGGCUCAGGCCCGAAUUAAAGAACUUAGCUCGACUGUCGAUGACCUGCAGGUUUACUGCAAUACGUUGCAUGAGGAAGUUCAUAUACUAUACUCACAGUUACACCCUAGUGAGCCUGCACAACCUGCUGAGGCGGAAGCUGGACCAUCUCACGUUGCGGGACGUGCGCUGGGUGGGGAGUUAGACCUUUUUGAGCCCCCUCCUUCUUUGAGGUUGGUUGAUGUCUGGACUCCCACACCUGACGAUGAAGCCGCCAAGAGUAAUGGCAAGCAAGAAUAAAGGUGUAAUAGGAGUAGAGUAGGGUAUUGUAGGGUAUUGUAGGGUGUACUGUUGUAUAAUAAAUUGAAUCUUUGUAUAUUGGGUAUUGUAUCCUGUUAUGUAAUAUCGAGUCUGUAUCAUUACUUUUUAUAGUAAUGUAAAAUGGAAGGUUUUCUCUGGCACAUUUUGUUUACUUCAAAUAUUUUUGCCACAGAUGCCGACCAGGACUCGAGGACAGGACGCAGCCGGAACUUCUGGCGGCAGGGAUGUUACCCCAAACCCACCUCCGGUUCCUCCCACGUUAGCCGAGGCGAUCGCCGCCUUGGUGAAUGCCACCGCAGACAAUACCCGCUUCCUUAGGGAAAUGGCGGGUCAGCAGCAAUUCUAGCAGCAGGCGGGAAGAGGUUAUCCGCAAGGCCCUCGUGAGACCACCUAUCUGGAUUUCUCGGAAACCCGUCCACCUCUAUUCGUCAAAGCUGAAGAUCCCCUAGAAGCUGAUGAGUGGAUUCGGGUUAUUGAGCAAAAGUUUGGUCUUCUCCGUUGCUCAGAGACGCAGAAGUCGUUGUUUGCCGCACAACAACUCCGUGGUCCUGCUAGUACCUGGUGGGGAAACUUCGUGGCUAUCCAACCUGUCAACCAUCAAGUCACCUGGGAUGAGUUUAAAGCAGCCUUCCGUGAACACUACAUCCCCGAAGGAGUGCUGCAUAUGAAACAAGAGGAAUUUAUGAAGUUACAACAAGGUGGAGAUACCGUCACUCAAUAUCUCAACAAAUUCAAUCACCUGUCGCAGUAUGCCAUCGACCAGGUGAAUACGGAUUUAAAGAAGAAGAACUGUUUUAUGCGGGGACUGAAUGAUCGGCUACAAAGGAAAAUGGCCACAUGCAUAGAUCUCACGUAUGGAAAGGCUGUCAGCACGGCCUUAUCUGUUGAAGCCAAAUACACAAAUUCUGGGAAGAAUAAGGGAUUCGGUGGUGAGAGGCCUAAUCAAGGCCAGGCGAAGAAGCAACGGUUUGUGAUCCGACCUUCAAACCAAAAUCGCACUUUUUCUCGUCCACCCUCAUUCCCCUUCAAACAGCCUAUCAUUAUCCGCCCCAACAAUACCCCCAAUCAGCCGGGUGCCCCAGGCACUCGAUUCCCUGCCUUGCCUAGUUCUUCAACUGGGUGCUUUAAUUGCGGCAAGUCGGGACAUUUUGUCAAAGACUGCCCAUAUCCUAGGCAAAAUCAAUCUAAUGCUUCGCAAGGAUCGGGGAAAUCAACUCAGCCCAAAGGAAAUGUUGUGGGGAAGAAUACAAAGAAGACGGGGCGUGUGUAUUACACUCAAGUGGCUACUACACCGGAAGGAGAACCGGUGAUGAUGGGUACGUUUCCCGUGGCCAGUCACCCAGCAAUUAUUCUUUUUGAUUCCGGUGCUUCACAUACAUUCAUUAGCAAGAAGUUUGUGGAGCAACAUCAUAUUUCAUACCAUGAAUCAAAGGAGGGAUUUAAAAUUCAUUCACCUGGGGGACACAUUUAUACUAGAGAAGUGGCCUAUGGUGUGCCAGUAACAAUGGCCGGACGGAACUUUCCUGCUAACAUGAUUGUUCUAAAGGGCCAGGAUAUAGAUGUAAUCUUGGGUAUGAAUUGGUUAACCCAACACAAGGCAAUUCUCAACACUGAACUCAGAACCAUCAGGUUGAGCUAUAACCAAGAAGAGAUUCUUUUGACUCUCCCCGCAACCAAUCCAGCCAAAGCUUCUGGUAGAGUCUAUGAAGCCAUUGUACCGGAGAUCAAGAACAUUCCGGUAGUAUGUGAGUUUCCAGAUGUAUUUCCGGAAGAUUUGCCUGGACUGCCCCCUGAAAGAGAUGUAGAAUUCGUAAUUGAGCUAAAGCCCGGUACGGCUCCCAUCUCCCGAAGGUCGUACCGUAUGCCCCCUAAUGAGUUGGCGGAACUGAAGAUUCAAUUACAAGAUCUACUGAAUAAGGGAUUCAUCCGGCCAAGCUCGUCCCCGUGGGGUUGUCCCGCCAUUUUUGUUAAGAAGAAGGAUCAAACCUUGAGAAUGUGCGUGGAUUAUCGACCCCUGAAUGAGGUCACUAUCAAGAAUAAGUACCCUCUUCCAAGGAUCGACAUCUUAUUUGAUCAACUGACUGGGGCGAGGGUAUUUUCCAAAAUUGAUCUCAGGUCGGGCUAUCAUCAAAUCCGUAUUCGGCCCGAGGAUAUACCGAAGACCGCGUUUACUACGCGGUAUGGAUUAUUUGAGUACCUGGUAAUGUCUUUCGGGCUCACUAAUGCUCCUGCCCAUUUCACCUAUUUGAUGAACUCGGUGUUCAUGCCCGAGUUGGACAAGUUCGUGGUAGUCUUCAUCGACGAUAUCUUGAUAUAUUCUAAGAAUGAAGAGGACCAUGCUCGGCAUCUACGGAUUGUAUUGACGCGCCUGAGGGAACAUCAGCUAUAUGCCAAGUUCAGCAAGUGCGCGUUCUGGCUGGAAGAAAUUCAAUUUUUGGGGCACGUGUUAUCGGCUAAAGGAAUUGCGGUAGAUCCUAGCAAGGUCAAAGAUAUUCUGGAGUGGAAACCCCCAACAACUGUUCACCAAGUCCGGAGUUUUCUUGGACUAGCUGGGUAUUAUCGCAGAUUCAUACCAGAUUUUUCUAAGCUUGUGAAGCCAAUCACAAGUUUAUUAAAGAAUGACAUUAAGUUCAAUUGGACUUCUAAGUGCAAUGAAGCCUUUGAGCAAUUGAAGACACUGUUGACCACUGCUCCGGUAUUGGCUCAACCGGACAUCACUAAACCCUUUGACGUAUAUUGUGAUGCAUCUGGUAGUGGGCUCGGCUGUGUAUUGAUGCAAGAGGGCCGAGUGAUUGCAUAUGCUUCAAGGCAGUUGCGCCGACAUGAGGAGCACUAUCCAACUCAUGAUCUGGAGCUAGCUGCUGUGGUUCAUGCUCUAAAGAUUUGGCGUCACUAUCUGCUGGGAAAUAUCUGUCAUAUAUAUACAGAUCAUAAAAGUUUGAAGUAUAUCUUCACCCAGUCAGAGUUAAAUAUGAGGCAAAGACGAUGGCUUGAGCUUAUCAAAGACUAUGAACUGGAGAUCCAUUAUCACCCAGGCAAAGCCAAUGUGGUGGCAGAUGCAUUAAGUCGUAAGACUUUCUGCCACUGUCUUAUGGCGAAGACCUCCGAGAACACUUUGUGUCAAGAAAUGGAAAAGCUAAACCUAGGAAUCAUCCAACAAGGGACUCUAAAUCAACUAAAGCUUGAGUCAAUCAUUUUGCAAAGGAUAAUUGAUGCUCAAAAAGAUAAUCUGGGUAUGAAGCACAUUUGAAAGAAGAUAAAGGCUGGAGUAGCCAAGUGUUUCAAGGAAGACGAUCAAGGUGUGAUAUGGUUUAAAAACCGCAUAGUAGUGCCAAAGAACGAAGAGCUCCGCCAGCAAAUUCUUGAUGAAGCACAUCUUAGUCGUUAUUCUAUUCAUCCCGGAAGCACUAAGAUGUAUCAAGUCUUAAAGCAACAUUACUGGUGGACAAAGAUGAAGAUUGAAAUUGCACGCUAUGUGGCUAAAUGUGACACUUGCAGACGUGUCAAGGCCAUACACAUGAAAACUGCUGGUCCAUUACAAUCUUUGCCAAUCCCAACAUGGAAAUGGGAAGACAUCAGUAUGGACUUUAUUGUGGGACUGCCCAGGACGGCCAAAGGGUAUGAUUCUAUUUGGGUUAUCGAUGAUCGACUCACAAAGAUUGCCCACUUCUUACCCGUCAGGGCCAAAUAUACAGUAGCCACUUAUGCAGCAUUGUAUAUCAGCCGUAUUCUCAGUUUGCAUGGUAUUCCAAAGACCAUAAUGUCGGAUCGUGGACCUCAGUUCGUAUCCAAGUUUUGGGAAGAACUUCAUAAAUCCUUGGGUACCAAAUUGCUCCACAGUUCGGCCUAUCAUCCUCAAACCAGUGGACAGACUGAGAGGGUGAACCAGAUACUCGAGGAUAUGCUGCGGGCAUGUGUCCUGGACUUCUCGCAAAAAUGGGAUGAAUGUUUGCCCCUAGCAGAGUUUUCAUACAAUAACAGUUAUCAAGAAAGUAUCAAGAUGGCACCUUUUGAAGCUUUGUAUGGGCGACGGUGUCGAACUCCGCUAAAUUGGUCUGAACCUGGAGAAAGAUACUUCUUUAGGCCUGAUAUGGUGAAAGAGGUCGAAGAAAAGGUUCAGAAAAUUAUUUAUAAUAUGAAGAAAGCUCAGGCUCGACAAAAGAGUUAUGCAGACCGACGAAGACAACCCUUAUGCUUUCUGGUAGACGAUUAUGUCUACUUAAAAGUUUCACCAAUGAAGGGUGUAUCGCGUUUCGGGGUUAAAGGGAAACUUGCACCCAGAUACAUUGGUCCCUUCCUGGUACUUGAGCAAUGUGGACCAGUGGCAUACCGACUUCAGCUCCCCGAAACAUUGUCUGCUGUGCAUAAUGUGUUCCACGUGUCACAAUUGAAGAAGUGUCUUCGGGUUCCCGAUCGAACCGUUGAAGUGACUGAUGUUGUCCUGGAACCAGAUUUGACAUACUCGGAACAUCCUAUUCGAGUUCUGGAUCAAAAGGACAGGGUUACCCGAAGAAAGACUCUCAAGUUUUAUAAGAUACAGUGGAACCAGCAUUCUGAAGACGAGGCUACAUGGGAAACCCAAGACUUUUUAGAUAAGAAUUUCCCAGGCUUCCUAGCCUCAUGUAAAUUGUAAAGUCUGUAUAGCUGUGUAAUAAAGAAGUGACCCCCUCAUCACCCCUGCUUUGUACCAAAACUUAUGAAAUAAAAAUAUGAUGCGUUUCCUUUACCAUUAUUUACCCUAGGAUUUUUAAUCUCGGGACGAGAUUCUUUUAUGGGGGAAAGGAUGUAACACCCCUGGUGUUACUAUAACUAAAACUUGAGCAUGACAUCAUGAACAUUAGCAUUUGCAUAUGUUUGACACACCUAGAGUGCAUUCACUAGGUAAAAAAAAUUCAAACAAGUUGUAUUGUUUUAAUGUUUUGCAAAUAGGACCCUGGAUAGGAAGCUUUACCCUAAAUAAGGAUUACAGGGGUAAAACAUAACCCAAGUUAAGGAAACCUAAAGACUUUAGGGUAAAAGUCAUAAAAUGACCCCAAAAAUAAACUUGAAUCACAUUUAUACCCCUGGGAUACCAGAAACCCUAAUUGGAACCCUGGAAAACCCUAAAACCAACCCUAGGGGCUUAUGUGCAAAAUUAGUCCACUUUUGGGCUAAAGUGCAAAAACCAAGUCAAAUAAGUAUUUUAAGUCAUUUGGUUCACAAAUAUGUGGACUUGAAAGCCAAACCCUAGGUUUUGGACUUAAAUGCAAAAUGGACCUCAUUUGAGUUCUAUUCUAAGUCUGAAAAUCAGAGAAUUGGCUCAACUUUGGAGCUUUGCAUCUUUCAAAUUAUAGGGUUUUUGCCCUAGGUCACCACAUCAAAGUUGAAGACCAAUUAUAGGAGAACAACUUUGCUAAAGAGUGUGAGCUCAGUUGUUAAGAAAAAUUUAGAGAUAAAUGAGCCUGAAGUUGGACUGUCAGACUGCCUGAAGCCUGAAAUGCAGAUUGACAGUGUUGUGACAUGAACUUUGAGCUCGAUUUGGAUGGGGAUCCAGUGACCUUUUGUGAGUACACAUUAUAGCAAAGAUAUAGAUGGAUUAUAGCACUACAACUUUGCUAUAGAUCACUGGGUGUGUUGCCAUUUGAAAAUCAUAGAAAAAGAAGCUUAAACAUUGGCUGUCAGGCACUCUGAACAGGCUCCUUGAUGGUACAGUACCCUAACCGGAUCAGAUCAAUCGCCAGCGCGGCUGUCUUCACCGCCGGUGGCUUUCCGCCGUGAUUCACGUCGCCGGCGUCACGAUUCGCGCUCGGGUAUGUGGAUAACUUCGCGGCGUCAAAAGAUCGUCACCGCCCAUGACCUGGACACCACACCGACUAGCCGUAGUCCAUCUCCCCUGGCUCACCGCCCGCGGUAAUGUGCUCACCGUCGACCGCCGCCUCUCGGCCGUGCGCCGCGUGGCUCGACCCUUCCACCGCGUCGCUGUAACUUGCUACUGUUGUCAAAUCAACGCCGGUGAGGUUGCCACGGCGUAGGACACUAAUUCGCGUGCGCCAGUACCUUCUUCCUCAUCUCCGACCGCCGCGUGUCUUGUCCAAAUUCGUGGCCACCGCCCGUCCUCUCUAUAAAUUGAGCCCAUGAUUAGCUCCGUGGGGUCGUCAGCCAACUAGCCACAGCUAAUCGACCACAAUCAUCCACUCGUGUGCUCGAAUUCGGAGUUUCCCCCAAAUCCGAUUUCCGCCACCGUGAAACCAAGCUCACCGUCGCCAGCCUUACUCCGGUUAGUCCCUCCCCUCUGCUCCCUUGUUUAAGCAUUCUCAUGCGUUUACGAUGCUUGCCGAGCCAUCGAAUUGAACUAAGGGCUCUCUGGUCGCCGGGAACACGACCAUAUAGCCGCUAUGCUUACGGCCACCGUGGCCAGAGCUCCAUAGUUGACCAAUAGCGCAAUUAAGUUAGGGGAAAUGGUCAGGCUGACCCCAAUUUCAUGUCCGCCGCUCGGAGAACCCAGCCAUAGCCCCAAUCGGCCGGUCCAGGACCUCGCCGGAGUCUCUCCGCGCGCGUCGCCGUCGUGGACCGCCCACUGCGAAGAAAUAGAACCUCAAGGGCCUCUGUGCAAAGCGUUAGUGACACAGGAAAACAGUAGAAAGACCGGAUCACAGUUAAUGAGAACCCCGAGGGUAUUUUUGCAAAGCCGCCAGCGCGGGCGCGCGCGCGGGCGCCUUUCUGCCCUAGCUGGGCCGCCUGGGCUGGAUUCGGCCCAGUGCGGUUCAAUUGUUUUUUCUUUUUCUUUUAUCUCCAGAGCCAAAACAAUUAUAGAAAAAUGUAGAAAAAUGCUAAAAUUGUGAAACUAAUUUUCCUAGGCUUGUUAUUUUCCCUAGAAUUUAGUAAAAAUAGUUUUGCGAUUUUUAGUAGAAAUAAGAAAUUUUAGGGUAUUUAAAGUAGUUAAAAGUAUUAGUUAUGGAUUUUUAGAAAAUAAUUGGUAAGUCCAUUAAUUCCCAAACUUUUUGUGGGAAUUUAAAACAAUAUUUAGAAGCCUUGGGUAGAGUUUGAAUUGUUUUGGACCUUGUUUGAUCACCAAACCCCAAAACACCCCCCUGCCCUAUGAACUCCUUUACCGACUCCGGAAACCCUAAGUUCCCGGAAUUCCGUGAAGGAAAAUUGUAUUCAAGAUAUAGAUAAUAAGUUUAUCUUAUCUUUGCAUCCUCAUGAGCAUCCCAUGACAUCCAUUCUUAUACCUAUGUAUGGUUAUGAUUAGAACGUGAAGAAGAAAUCGAAGUAACUGAAGAGGAGACACCACCACCUUCGGAGUCUCAGGCCGGGAAUCAUUUCUACUUUGACAUCUGUGGAUCUGAGCCUGAUUCACCUGUGAACGAAGGCAAGCCCCGGUGCAUGCAACCCCUUUCCUUGUGUUUUUAAAUACUUUUCGCACACUUAAGUCUAGUGAAAUGUGCAUUAGGUUCAUAGGAGUUACUUGAAACCCUUUGAUGCAUUGCUUUCCUUGAUAUCCAUACCUUUAUAGAUACUUCUGUGAAGUAUCAAAAUAUGAUUUACAAAAAUGCUUAGCCUUGCUUAGAUCUUGUGGAUAGAGGUUGUCCUUAAUUUAACUCGAGAAAGGAUGGCUUCUACCUGCAAGAAUAUUUUCAUUUGGAGCAAUGGUGGGAUCUUACUG
rnacentral:lncRNA from 1 species